GACGUUGUGCCCGAGUGGUUAAGGGGUUUGACUCGAAUCUUUUCAAAGAUGGGUAUCAAAUACGUUCUGCGUGCGCAAGUUCGAAUCUUGUCAACGUCG